CCACUGCCCUACUGCCCGCUCUUAGUAUUGAAAAUGUCCCUCUCAAAUUUCCACCGCCUCAGAGGAGACAGUUAUUUUAAAUGCUAGCAGAGAUGGCAGGCAUUUUCGGAGGAACAUUUCAAAGGUUGAAAGUGGCAGGUGUACCGUACCAGGGCAGCAGACCUGUGGUGGCAGCAGUGGCCGUUCCACUGACAAUGAGCAAAACCCCUGACAAUGAGCAGGACCCCUGAGAGCAGACUUGAAAGGCAAGCUCACUGAGAAAGCUACAAAGGAGGUAUCUUUAGAAGAGCAUCACGGGAAAGUACAGAAUAUUGUAAGAAGACACUCGCACUUAUCUAACUGGAAAGUGGUCGGGUCAGAUGGGACGGAUUUUGACCAGCCUAGUGUGCUGGAGCACCUACUUAUCUAGUAAAACCAGGUCAAUCUUGGAUUAAGAAUUGUGCACAGCAGAG